rnacentral:lncRNA from 10 species
UUUAGUUUGUGAGGCUGGAGAUGAUAUUUAAUCUGAUAACUGAUUGACAAGAAGGAACAUAAUAUAAGAAGUUCAGCAGAAACAACCAAAACAUGACCUACUCUGUUAAUAAGAAUCCUGGGAGAAGUAGGAAAUGGACAUCCUUCGAGGCAGAGAAGAGAUAAUUGGCUCCCUGCCCAGGAUUGAACACAGAAGGCUCUGAGAAGCACCAGAAGUUCUACCAUAAGCUUCUGAAGUCAGCUGACAACCACUGAGUCCUCUGGGAAGUCAGAACUCUGUGUAAUUGCCCAAAUCUCCUCCAGGCCUAGCUAGACUUGACUUCAGUGACUAGUGGUUCAUUUGCUCAAUCUGUCUGAUAGCUCACCAGGGGAAAACAGGCUUUUCAUCACUUGUAAAAUGAGAAACAUCACAUUUUAAAACAAUAUAUAUAAUAAAACUCCUCUAGUCUCUUUGAAUGUUAAAGAAGGGAGCAAGUGUUUCUGUUUAAAUGCUAAUAAAUACAAUAGCAAAUGUUACCAGAUCAUCUACUAUAUGCCAAGUACAGAGCUAGGUGACUUACACAUUUUUUUUUCAUUAUACCACUUGACCUCAAGCCCGGUAUUGUCAUCCGUAUUAGUAUAAAUGAGGAGUUAAAUAUUAAACUAAAGGUGAAAUAUAUUUCCUAAUGUAAUAGGCUUAAUACCUAAAAUUCCAGGAAACAAACCUAUAUAGGUCUGAAGCAAAGCAUUGAUUUUACUAAGCC